AUGCUGCUGGGAGCAGGGCCUGGGCCCACGGCGGCUGCAGGCGCCCUGGUGGGGGAAGGGGUGACGUCCCGCCAGACGGGCCGCCUGCAGACGGGCCUGGUGACCGGUUCCCAGUGGACAGAGCUGGAGGGGCUCCCAGGACACAGGACGGCACGGCAGCCAGUCCAUCCGGUGGCCAACAGCCUGACACUCCCCCGGGAGCUCGGCCUGCACCGAGAGCAGGGGGUGGCCUCGGGGACAGUGGUGGUAGUGCCCGCUGCCCUGUCCCUUCCUGGCUAUCACACGACCACAGUGCAUACCAAGGGCUCACCGAGGCAGCUGGUGGCAUUGAGGAGAGAGGCCACGAGCCAGCAGCAGAGGCCAGGGGUCUCCACCCAGCAUCCAUCCAUCUACCCCUUGAGGACCUGUUGCAUAAAAGAAACCUCUGUGGCCCUGGGCUGCCUGGUCAAGGACUACUUCCCAGGGUCAGUGGCUGUGACCUGGGACACAGUGCCCCUGAAUGGGAGCACCCUGACCUUCCCUAGCAUCCAAAUGGCGAACUCCAGUCUCUACGUCACCACCAGCCAGCUGACCGUCUCGGGCGAGCAGCCCAAGCAGUUCACCUGCAGUGUUUUCCACGCUGAGACUAACGUCACUGCCAUGAAGACCGUCAGCACUGAGUGCGCCAAGAACUUCAGCGACCCCUCGGUGAGGCUCUUCUACUCCUCCUGUGACCCCAGCGGCGACACCCACACCACCAUCCAGCUCCUGUGCCGGAUCUCCGGCUACACCCCAGGCAAGAUCAAGGUCACCUGGCUGGUGGACGGGCACGAGUCCAAAGAACUGUAUGCACAGCCCGGCCCCGAGAUACAGGAGGGCAAUCUGACCACCACCUACAGCGAAGUCAACAUCACACAGGGCCAGUGGGUGUCCGAGAAAACCUACACCUGCCGGGUCAACUAUUACGGCUUCAACUACGACAACCACGCCCGCAGGUGCACAGCCGAGUCUGAGCCCCGCGGCGUGAGCACCUACCUGAUCCCACCCACCCCCCUCGAGCUGUACGUCAACAAGUCGCCCAAGAUCACCUGCCUGGUUGUGGACCUGGCCAGCAAGAAUAACUUGAGCCUGACCUGGUCGAGAGCAAACGGGAAACCUGUGCACGCAGACCCCGUCGACAUCAAGCGUCAGUUCAACGGGACGAUCACCGUCACGUCCACCCUGCCGGUGGACGUCAUUGACUGGGUUGAAGGCGAGACCUACUACUGCAAAGUGAGCCAUGGCGACCUGCCCAAGGAUAUCCAGAGAUCCAUCUCCAAGGAUGUUGGCAAGCGUGUGGCCCCCAAGGUCUACGUGUUCUGGCCAGACAGAAAGGAGCUGGAGAAUCAGGAGGAGCUCACCCUCACCUGCCUGAUCCAGAAAUUCUUCCCCAAGGACAUCUCUGUGCGGUGGCUGCGUAACAAGAAACUGAUGCGGGAAGGCCAGCACACCACCACACAGCCCGACAGGGCCGACAACAACAGCCUCACCUUCUUCACCUACAGCCGCCUGGCGGUCCCCAAGGCCAGCUGGAAGAUGGACGAUGAGUUCACCUGCCAAGUGAUCCACGAGGCACUGCCCAAGACUAGGACCCUGGAGAAAUCGGUGUUCAUUAACAGCGGUAAAUAA